GAGAGAAUUCUGACGUUCUGAUCUGAGUUGAAAAUGUUCUUAAAAUGAGAACGGCAUUUUUUGAGCUCAAAAUGUUCUCUUUGUGAUUGAAUCAAGUUGAAUUUGUACUUAAAAUUUGGUUAAACCAAAAUUGUUCUCAAAUCAAGAACGAAAUGUUAUACAUUUAUCACGUGGUUCUUAAAUCAAUUUCAAUUUCUUCUCAGAAACCCAAUAAUCUCAAUAUGUUCUUAAAGUAAGAACGGGAGGGACAAAAAAUAGAACGAAAAGUGAGUUGCAUUUCGACUUGAAAUGGUGUGUUGCGGAUUUUUUAUAACGCGUUAGUAUCUUUCGGUUAACAGCAAGCACGCGUUAGACCCUUCUACUUUGCUCUUCUUCUUCUGAACCAUUCGGCUGGCACAUUUCAUCAGCGUUUCGAUUGGUUUGCAAAAGUUUAAAGUUAAAGUAAUGGAAAGUGAAAGUGACGAGCAGUUGUCAAAGUUCCUGGAGGAUAUUAAAAUGGAGUCCGUAAGGAAAUUCCUUGAAGUGCACCCUUACACAAAUACUUAUUAAAUAAUAAAAAACAUUACCUUAGAUUUAAAUAUUUAUAAGCUUGUAUAUAUACCUUAAUGUUAUAAGAGAUUUAAGCCUGUAAUUAAUCACAUAUUAUAUACAUAUCCCAUAUAUAUUACAAUUCAAUAAAAGUAAAAAACUAUUACAAGCCAAA